UGGUGUUUGGCUUGUAACGGCACGUCGGAUCCCUGCCAGGGCAGCGACGACGUCCCGAGCGAGCCUCUUCAUUUUGUUGGUGCGAGUGCAAAUAUACCUCGGCCAGCGUCGGUUUCCUGUGCUGAAUUCCUUCGUAAAGGCAAUCAUUCGGCUACCAUUGUCCCCCACUCCUCCUCUCGAUGCGUAUCCUCACGGAUGAGCGGCGCGGGGAGGACAUCGAAGUCCCUGUCGUGUUUCGCAGCCCGUGCACUCCCUCUAUGUGGGCGCUCGGAUUGCCGACGCACGACGUUGAACUCGAUCUCUCGGAUGCGGAGAAGCAAAAGCGGCUUAUGAGGGACCACCGUCUAAAUUGUCCAUCGGGCGUUCUACGCUCCCUACGGACGACUGUCGAUCGGGUCUUGUUCUUGUGCCCCCGUGGCUCGGAUCAUGCCCGAUCGGCGUCRACUAGGAAUGC
rnacentral:misc_RNA from 1 species